rnacentral:rRNA from 1 species
UACGUAGGGGGCAAGCGUUGUCCGGAUUUAUUGGGCGUAAAGAGCUCGUAGGUGGUUCGGUAAGUCGGAUGUGAAAUCUCCAGGCUCAACCUGGAGGGGUCAUUCGAUACUGCCGUGACUAGAGGUCGGUAGGGGAGUGUGGAAUUCCCGGUGGAGCGGUGAAAUGCGCAGAUAUCGGGAGGAACACCUGUGGCGAAGGCGGCUUUCUGGGCCUUACCUGACGCUGAGACGCGAAAGCGUGGGGAGCGAACCGG